UGGAAUAUUGCACAAUGGGCGCAAGCCUGAUGCAGCGACGCCGCGUGAGGGAUGACGGCCUUCGGGUUGUAAACCUCUUUCAGCAGGGAAGAAGCGCAAGUGACGGUACCUGCAGAAGAAGCGCCGGCUAACUACGUGCCAGCAGCCGCGGUAAUACGUAGGGCGCAAGCGUUGUCCGGAACUAUUGGGCGUAAAGAGCUCGUAGGCGGUCUGUCGCGUCUGGUGUGAAAUCCCGAGGCUCGACCUCGGGCUUGCAUCGGGUACGGGCAGACUAGAGUGCGGUAGGGGAGACUGGAAUUCCUGGUGUAGCGGUGGAAUGCGCAGAUAUCAGGAGGAACACCGAUGGCGAAGGCAGGUCUCUGGGCCGCAACUGACGCUGAGGAGCGAAAGCAUGGGGAGCGAACAGGAUUAGAUACCCUGGUAGUCCAUGCCGUAAACGUUGGGCACUAGGUGUGGGGCUCAUUCCACGAGUUCCGUGCCGCAGCUAACGCAUUAAGUGCCCCGCCUGGGGAGUACGGCCGCAAGGCUAAAACUCAAAUGAAUUGACGGA
rnacentral:rRNA from 1 species